GGAAGCCCACACUGGAGGAACCUGUCCUUGAAGGACUGCACCUUGUAGAAGAGUCAUCCAUUCUGCAGCAGUAUGGGGAGAACUGUUGCCUGUGGAAUGGACUCACGCUGGAGAAAUUAAUGGAGAACUGUCUCCUGUGGGAGGGACCUCACAGUGCAACAGGGGAAUGACUCCUCUCCCUGAACAACAGGAGAAACAACAGGUCAGCAAGAAAUAGAUGAAUCCAGGACAGCUGCUCACUAGACCACGUCCUAGUUCUGCCUUGCCCUCCACUCUCUUUUGCCACUUGAACUGUGAGAAGUGGGUCUAAAGAAUACAUGGAACAUAACUGCGAUACCUGAAAUGUAUGAAGAGGAAGCGGUCUUGCCAAACUUUCACUCAUUCCAUCCUUGGAGAACUGCUAAUUGUCACAGACAUUCUCUGCCAGGACCUUAAUUUUCACUUGGUAGCAUUUCAUACUCUGUGGCAAUGGAAGAUACCAGCUGUGUGGUAUCAGAGAGAAGAGCCAGGUCUCUUAAAGAGCAGAUUUCAAGUCCUCUUGUCUUGUUAAGUAAAUGACAAUAUUGAUGUUUAUCAGUGGAAAGGGAGAAAAUCUAACAAAUAG